rnacentral:lncRNA from 1 species
UUUCAUCCUCCGAUGGUAAUGUUUUGGGGGAAAGUAUUUUACUUGGAAUUCAUUGCAGGAGUAGUUGAUAUUUGUGGUCUCUGAGGCCUCUAGCUCUUUCAGCUCGGUGUAUGUGUUUCUCUAUAUGAUUCAGUUCCCUCUCAGACACUAGAUAUUCCCAUUUGUUAGCAUCUUGUGAUUUUUCUUUUUGUGAUCUCCUCUUCCUCUAUUUUAAUUUCCCAUUCUGGAAUUGUUUUGUAGUUCUGGUCUCCUUCCAUCAUGAUUUUUUGAUGUCGUUGAUGGCAGUAUGCCUCUGCUUUAGCAAACCAGAAGUCAAAAGACAUGGCCUUAAAUUUAUCAAGUGUUUCAUUCUCCUUUUGAAACUCUUGAGCUAAUAGUUUUCUUACUUCUGAAGAGUGGAUGCCACCUAAACUCUCAUCAAACGGAGUAAUUAGAACUUUUAAAGUUGGAUAUCCUGUGUUUUAGUUCCAUUGUACAGAUCUCAAAGGAGCUAUUAGCCCUGCCUGGUACUCCUACACUCUGCCCCAAUGAGAGUCUCUUAACCAAGUACUGUAGUGAUGUCUUCCUCUUCACUGCCCCCACCCGCAGUGUUCCCUCUUAGGUGAGGACUUUGCCUUAGACAUCCUUGAGAAAACAGGAGCACCCUCCUCUUCCCACUGUCAGACUGGCCUUCUGACUUUGCAGUAGAAACAUUACCCUGUGCUUAUCAAAAGCCAGUUCUUCCACCUGUGCUUGUUAAGCUUCAGGAAUUCCAGUUUUGCAGUUAAUCAAAUUCCCUUUGCUGCAUCCUAAAACCUCCACUCUAAUGAAUCACUCCUAUCAGCAUGAAAAUAUCAGUAUGUAAAAUUCUUCCUUUAGUUCCUCUGGGGCCUUUACCGUUCUUUUCACUCCCUGCUUCACAGUGUACUUUGAAGUAGUUAUCUAUAACCCCUCUAACUGUCCUUCUUCCAUUUUCUCAGUCUACUUCCAUUUGGGUUCCACUGCCCACUACUUCUGUGAGACUGCUCUUAUCUAGGGCAUGAGUGGUUUCCAAUAGAAAGUUCGGUGGUCCUAUUGCUAUUCCUGUCUGUGAGACCUCAGCAGCAUUUAAAAGAGGUGACCACUCUCCUUUUCAAAACUUUUCUGACUUUUUUUUAGCUACUCCUAAGGGUAUGUGACUAAGGUUAUCUUGGACCACUCGGACUAUCCCAGCCAUUUGCUGAGUAUCCUCACAUGACAAUAUCCUGAUUCUUUUCCUCUUAGCCACUUUUUCUCAUGUGCCUUGCUGGGCUGUCUUUUAAACAUAAUGCAGGAAAAUAUAGUGGAGAACAUAGUCACUCGAGAUAGAACAUGGUCACAAUUAGGCUUCCUUGGAUAAGGUGACCUACCAUGUGUCAGGCACUGCUCUAGAGCGGGAAUAGGAAUGAAGGAGACAGAAGAGCUACAAGGGCACUACCCUGCCCACUGCUCUCAACUUUGGAUCUAACCCUUGUUGGGGAAUGGGGACCUACUGCAAUCCGACGGUCUUGAGUAUUUCUAGCCCAGGCCAUUCUAGAAGAUCAAAAAGAGAAAUUAAUGCCAGGAUUUGGAGAAAGACAUCGGGAAACAUGUUACAGAAUGAACUGUGCUAGGUGGUUGACUCAGGACCCACUUUCCACAUGCGGUGCAAGGCAUUUCUCUGGGCCAACAAGAUAGGACUCUAUUUUCUGUCUUUCCCUGAAGCAGGGAAGGAAUGUAGUCUGAUGAAAGUAUGAACUUUGAGGUUGUAACUAUAGGAAAUACCUUUAAUACUGGUAAGGAGAGAAUGAAUUGUUGUUUCAAAUACCACAGACCGCUGCUUUUGAAUGUUGUUAGUGAAAGAACUCAGUUCUGGUGAGAAAAGUUUUCAAAGUUCACUUUAAGUUCAGUUAUGUGUAAAUUAUUAGUAAAU